AAUACAUGCAAGUCGAGCGAACUGAUUAGAAGCUUGCUUCUAUGACGUUAGCGGCGGACGGGUGAGUAACACGUGGGCAACCUGCCUGUAAGACUGGGAUAACUUCGGGAAACCGAAGCUAAUACCGGAUAGGAUCUUCUCCUUCAUGGGAGAUGAUUGAAAGAUGGUUUCGGCUAUCACUUACAGAUGGGCCCGCGGUGCAUUAGCUAGUUGGUGAGGUAACGGCUCACCAAGGCAACGAUGCAUAGCCGACCUGAGAGGGUGAUCGGCCACACUGGGACUGAGACACGGCCCAGACUCCUACGGGAGGCAGCAGUAGGGAAUCUUCCGCAAUGGACGAAAGUCUGACGGAGCAACGCCGCGUGAGUGAUGAAGGCUUUCGGGUCGUAAAACUCUGUUGUUAGGGAAGAACAAGUACAAGAGUAACUGCUUGUACCUUGACGGUACCUAACCAGAAAGCCACGGCUAACUACGUGCCAGCAGCCGCGGUAAUACGUAGGUGGCAAGCGUUAUCCGGAAUUAUUGGGCGUAAAGCGCGCGCAGGCGGUUUCUUAAGUCUGAUGUGAAAGCCCCACGGCUCAACCGUGGGAGGGUCAUUGGAAACUGGGGAACUUGAGUGCAGAAGGAGGAAAAGCGGAAUUCCACGUGUUAGCGGUGGAAAUGCGGUAGAGAUGUGGGAGAGAGACACCCAGUGGGCGAAGGCCGGCUUUUUGGGUCUGUAACUGACGCUGAAGCGCGAAAGCGUGGGGGAGCAAACAGGAUUAGAUACCCUGGUAGUUCCACGCCCGUAAACGAUGAGUGCUAAGUGUUAGAGGGUUCCGCCCCUUUAGUGCUGCAGCUAACGCAUUAAGCACUCCGCCUGGGA
rnacentral:rRNA from 2 species